GACGAACGCUGGCGGCGUGCCUAAUACAUGCAAGUUGAGCGAUGAAGAUUGGUGCUUGCACCAAUUUGAAGAGCAGCGAACGGGUGAGUAACGCGUGGGGAAUCUGCCUUUGAGCGGGGGACAACAUUUGGAAACGAAUGCUAAUACCGCAUAACAACUUUAAACAUAAGUUUUAAGUUUGAAAGAUGCAAUUGCAUCACUCAAAGAUGAUCCCGCGUUGUAUUAGCUAGUUGGUGAGGUAAAGGCUCACCAAGGCGAUGAUACAUAGCCGACCUGAGAGGGUGAUCGGCCACAUUGGGACUGGGACACGGCCCAAACUCCUACGGGAGGCAGCAGUAGGGGAUCUUCGGCAAUGGACGGAAGUCUGGCCGAGCAACGCCGCGUGAGUGAAGAAGGUUUUCGGAUCGUAAAACUCUGUUGGUAGAGAAGAACGUUGGUGAGAGUGGAAAGCUCAUCAAGUGACGGUAACUACCCAGAAAGGGACGGCUAACUACGUG
rnacentral:rRNA from 1 species